GGGACAAUGAAUGCAGGAGCCUUGGCUCUGGACCCCUUUUUUGGGUACAUGCAGGACCGCCGCUGUCACUCAGGCCCUCCAGAGUCACUGGCUGCGAAGGUUCAACCUCCAGCUGGAAUCUCCUAAUGCCCCUGUCAAACAGAACAGGAGGCGGCAACAGAACAGAGGACAUUGAGAACACAGCCUGAAGCCUGAUAUGAAGAGGAGGAAGGAGAUGAGCAAGAACACCUGGCCUUCGGGGUGGAAUUCAACUUAGGGAUAAAAUGUAGCCACAGAUCUCCCUG